UACGUAGGGACCAAGCGUUGUUCGGAUUGACUGGGCGUAAAGGGCGCGUAGGCGGAUGGUACAGUCAGACGUGAAAUUCCUGGGCUCAACCUGGGGGCUGCGUUUGAUACGUGCUGUCUGGAGUUCGGAAGAGGGUCGUGGAAUUCCCAGUGUAGAGGUGAAAUUCGUAGAUAUUGGGAAGAACACCGGUGGCGAAGGCGGCGACCUGGUCCGAUACUGACGCUGAGGCGCGAAAGCGUGGGGAGCAAACAGG
rnacentral:rRNA from 1 species